AUCUUGAGUGUGCCUUAAAAUUCCAUUUCAUGGAGAACUGUGCGUGGUUGAAUUUUGAUUGAUUACUCAAUUAACUGAUGUAUUGGUAGAGUGAUUAAGAAAGAAGACUUUGGGAUCAGACCAACCUGGUUUUGAAUUCAAGCUCAGCAACUUACUAGGUAAGGAGGAGAAAAGAAAGAAGGAAAAAUUGGAAAGAUAAAUGGGGUCUUUCCAGUGAAGCUGCAGUUAUGGCAUUAACCACCCAGUUGUUACCUACUUCUAGAUGAAAGAACUUGGCAAAUGUAUUUGAUGUACUACUUGAUUUAACAUCUAUGCUUCCGAAUGUUUAUUAUAAAGAAAUUACCAAGGCUCAAUUUUCCUACAUAAUUAAGAGUUUGGAAUUUGGGCAAUAUCAAGAACCACAUCUGUCCUGAAAUCAAUUAUCUCUGUUUGAAACACAAGAAAUAAGAAGACCAUUUUGAGAAGAACAGAGAGUAGCCUUAAGAAAAUCCCUGUCGCAAGCACUCUGGGAUUUGGACUCAAAUGCUAAUUAUACA